ACAGAGCUGUGUUUCCCUGCAUUUGGAAUCCAUGGAUGCUCCCUACAGAAAGGCAGAGUGCCUGGCUGGAAUUCCAAGAGGGAUUAUUGCAAUAAUGACACUUUGCACCAACCAGAGCCUUUAUCAAGGAAUUACCAAGUGUUUGUCCGAAGGGUGA
rnacentral:lncRNA from 1 species